UAAUAUGGAAAGUUUAAAAAGUUCAAAUCCACAAAGCAUAAAGUAUAAAUAUGGAAUCUGGAAGCACUGAAAAUCAUUGUAUUGAAUCUGGAUACUAUGUGGAGAGAAAAAAUAUUUUGCUCGUUGUCUACCAUUUGCUAAAUUUGUUUAUUGUCCAUUAUAUCAAGAAUAAAAAAUACGAUCAUAAUGUUAAUAGACCGCUGGUGUUGAUUGAAAGGUAUAUGUUUGACUAUAAUCAAGAGAAUGCGAGAAAAAACGCAAAAAGAAUGAAAGAUAACAGUUAUUUGCUCUAAAAAGCGCAAUAGUUUAGUUUGCAGAAAAAAACAUUUCGCAUAACCAUUCUAUUCAACGUUCUGUUUAACUGUCAACAGAUGGUAAGAAUGACAAUAAAAGAUAUGAGCAACGUUGCCAUUUAUGAAAUAACAUCUUUCGCAUCGUUGCCAAAGUAAAAAAUAAUACAAGAAUAAAAGAUUAUGUGAAGAGCAAAGGUUUUUAGUGGUAUAAUUUCUGUUUUUUUCUCUAAGUCUGAUAUUAUGGCAAGCCACUGUAUAUACUUUUAAAACUUAGAUGAGUAUCAAUU